rnacentral:misc_RNA from 1 species
UGUACUCGGCCAUUUUAUAACAGUUAAAACUAAAACAAACCUUCGAAAAAAUUGAUCCCUCACACGAAUACAAAAACCAACCUCACAACCAGAGAUGAAAUUUCUUUUGAUACUCCCACAACUAAAAAUUGUUGAGCUUCCAAAUCCAGCUAUUCUCUAUAUUGGCAUUGGCAACAGAUAUUUCAUCAUAAUUUUAUAAAGCGGAACUCAAAGACAUUGCAACUUACAAUAGGCAAAAAUAACAUAAGUUACAACUCCAACAGCGUACCAACAAAAUUACAAUCAUAUGAAUAUUUAUGUCUUAUUGUAUCGCUACUGAAUCUCAAAAAGGCAAGUAUCUAAUGUUGCAAAAUCUUUCCAACCACAUUGAAACAUCAGCAAUGUAAAUAGGAAGACUUAAAAAAAAAAAAGGAACAGUAAGGCAAUACUCUGGGCCAAAAUGACAUCGAGGGAGUGCGAGUAAAGCUCCAAUAGCAAACAGCACCACAGCCGCUUCAUUUUCUUGCCAAAACCACUGCCAAUAUGCACUUCACAAUCAAAACAAAACAAACAAGUAGCAGUAAAAACAGGCAUUGAUGAAAAUUAGGACAGCUGAAUAUAGCCGGCAAAUGAUGAGCAACUUAUUCAUAGAUCAGUUGUAAGCAACAGGAAAUAGGUUAUUAUGAAAAGACUUCAGCAGUGGGGAAAAAAAAUCAGAAACCGAAAAUUCUAAUACUAAGGAGCAAUGUAGCAUAAUAUUUGCUAAUUUUAAUAUAGUUCGGUUCUAGUUACUAGAAAUUUGCAAUUACAAGGUCUCUAAUAAACCAUACUGCUAGAGCCAGAUGAGUACACACCAGGGGUGGAUAAUGUUAUCCGGUGAGGUACCAUAAAAGUGUAACGUUUGAACUGAAGAUCAUAAUUUCAGACACGCAGAACAUUGUCCGAGGAAACACAUUAUUUGUUUUCAAAUAUCAUGUCACACUAUUUCAAAUACCCAAGUAUGUCAAAACUUCAAUUACUAUUAUUUGUAACCCAAUAAAAAACUACAUGACGAGCUCUCAUGCCAACUUCAGUCCAUCACACUAAAAGAAAUUUGACUAAAAGAGUCAUUUAACUGACUGAAAAGAGCUCAAGUUGGAAAAUAAAGCGUCAAUACCUUUAAGCUUGAGCAUCAAUCUGUUUAUCUUCAACAUCAUUUGCAGCUCCAUUUGUCUCUACAUUCUCAGUAUCCUCACCAGGGGGCUGAACCUGCUCCUCCUCAGGCAAAGGCUCCUCUACAUAAUCAUUCUCAAAAGCAUCAGCAGGAACUUCAUAAAUUCUCACUUGUGGCUUGGACGGGUCUUUCACCAAUACAUAUUUUCCUUCAUUCAACUUCAUACACAAGUCAACAAUACUCUUCACAAUCCCCCACAUGUUGGAUGUAUUCAAAUUAAUCUGGGAGGCAAAAUCCCUCGGCUUGUACCCAACUACUGCCAAUAUCACAUGAUUAUAAUGGUCCCUUGGAUGAACCCUGGACACAUAACCCAAUUUCAUCAAAUCUGCACUGGCCAACAGAGCUUGAGCAGUCCACUUAGCCAAUUUAUUGGCGUUGUUCUUCAAUUCAGUAGCCAAAACUGCACCUCUUUGAGUCUCCAACUUCUGCCUCCAAUCAACUCCUGAAUAUUUAGGGUCAAACUCAUUAAGAGCAUUCAACGUCAAAAACGACCUCUGUUUGUUAACCUCCACAACACUCUGCACCUCACAACGGGCAACAAGAUACAUAUCAUCAUCAAGCUUCCACCGCCUAUACCUAUAGGCCACAGAAGCAACUUCCUCUCCUUCGUUUGCAAAAGGGUUGGGCUCAUCAAAAGCGACCUUGUUCCCAUCCCUAAUCAAGACCUGCUGUGAAAAGUUCUGAUUAAUAUAAGCUGCUUCAACACUCAAUGAAUAUGCAGAGUUCAUAUCAUCCUUGGCCUCUGGCAACGGCUCAUGUGAAGUCUCAUGCACCGAAAGCAAAUCUAGCUGGGAACCAUCCCUCUUAUCAAAAAAGAGCUUGUUGCCGACCCUCUGAAUCACAAUAUCCCAUGAAUACACUGACCUCGGUGCGCACAUCAAAGUUGCGAGGAUAGUAUCCGUUGCAAAGACCGUAGCUUUAUCCUCAUUGGCAAGCCUCCGUAUCACUGGAUCGUCAGUAGUAGUGACUUUGAAAAAGUUUCGGUUUUUGAACCUCUCCAAACGACGCUCGUUUUUGGGAGUGAUUCUAUCAUACGAUCUAUCGUAAAACUCGAGGCCGCCGCAGAGAAGUAGAUCUUCCGGCUCAGGGACUGUGAAUGAGAGCUUUGAAAACGUUGAAAAGGGUAUCUGAUCCAGCAUGUUCCACUCUGGUUGGAUGUCCACCGAUGACUUAAAAGCGGCCGCCUCGCGACGUGGAUGGUUUUGGUUGGAACGGUUGAGGUUGUAGAGCCGGUCACGACGGGCGCGUUCCUUUUCCGCCUCGCGUUUACGAGCUUCCACCUCUUCAUCGCGUCGCUGUGGAAGCUGCGGGCGGUGUUGGUUGAACCGCCACUUAGGCCCAAAUUUGGGGCGCGGAGGAGGUUUUCCGUCUACAAGGCGGAAAGUUGAGUCAUCGUCACCGGCAGCAGCUGCUGCGGGAAAGGAAUCAUCUGCGGUAAAGUCAAAAACCGAAUCCAAUGCAGUUUUGUUGGCGUUUGGGCGAGUCGCAUUGGGGUUGUUGACGUUGCGGGUCCAGUCGGCAAUUCGGCCUAGUUUUUCUGAUCGGGAGAAGGGGGCGAAGGGAACAUGGAGAGGGAGGGUUGAGGUGGCAGUAGUGGUAGUGGUGGCUGUUGUGGCGUCUGGAGGGCCCCAACCGUCAGGGUUGAAAGGAACGGCGCCUACUUCGAAGCCGCCGACCAUUGCUGAGGAAGAUGAUGGAGCAGUGGUGACUGAAACCCUAGCUGAGAUUUGUGUUUGGGGCAGUGGCAAACAAAAACCCCAGCGGGUAAACAGUUCAUUAUUUU